GUUGUUGACAGAAGAUAGAGAGCACAGAUGAUGGUGUUGCCUAUGUGCAUGCAUCCCACUCCUUUGUGCUCUCUAUGCUUCUGUCAUCAUC
rnacentral:pre_miRNA from 1 species